UUUGUUGCUCGAAAUUGUGUCUUUUUAGAGAGAGAAUUUCUUUCUAAAAGGAACAGUGGGAGUAAAGUGCAACUCGAAGAAGUUCGAGAACCACAUGAGAUUGCUCAACCUAUUCAAGAAAAGCAACAGUUAGAUUUACGAAGAGUCGUAGUAUCUACACCUGUGGAACCUGAAGUGCGUAGGUCCGAAAGGACACGUCACGAACCUAACAGAUAUCGGGUUUGGGUGACAGAUCAUCAUGAUCUAUUAAUUAUAGAAAAUGAUGAACCUACGUCUUUCGAAGAAGC
rnacentral:lncRNA from 1 species